AUGGCGUUGUACAGCAGGCGAAUGUGGGCAGCGUCGAAGUCGAUAAGCUCGGUGCGGAAGUUAGCUUGGGUGCCAAAGGUCACCGGGAGGCGGAUCUGCCCCAGGGAGUCGGUGGAACUGCCCCCGACGCCCGAGAGGGGCCUGCUGGGUUGGAGUCGCUCCAGUGACACGUGGAGGAGACUGAAGGCCUCGACCGAGGGCGCAUUGAGGUCGGCUCUACCGUCGAUGAGGGUGCUGGUGACGGCCACCUGGCAGAUGGUAGGAAUGCAGAGCAUCGGGAGCGCACCCGAGCAAGCGGUAUUGGUAGGGCGAUCAUCCAAGAUGAAGGUCAAGUCGGCCUUGGGUGCCACCCAACCUGGAGGAGCUUCGCGGCCCAUGAGGACAGCACCGAUCUGGCGGAUGAACGGCUUGAUGUGGCAACUUGUGGGUGGGUCUUGCGAGCCACCUAGGAGAGCCGCGACGAUUGGGAGUGCCGAUGCAGCAUGGUGGGCGAGGAAGAGGCUGCGCAGCUCCUCCUAG
rnacentral:rRNA from 1 species